rnacentral:rRNA from 1 species
GGCUUAGAAGCAGCCACUCAUUUAAAGAGUGCGUAAUAGCUCACUGGUCGAGUGAUCCUGCGCCGAAGAUUUCCGGGGCUAAAACAUACUACCGAAGCUACGGCAUCAUAUGAUGAUGGGUAGGGGAGCUUCCCAUGCAGGCUGAAGCGAUACCGUAAGGAGUCGUGGACAGUAUGGGAGAGAGAAUGUUGGCAUGAGUAGCGAGAUGAGGGUGAGAAUCCCUCAGGCCGUAAACCCAAGGUUUCCAGGGGAAGGUUCGUCCACCCUGGGUUAGUCGGGACCUAAGCUCAGGCCGAAAGGCGUAGGCGAUGGACAACAGGUUGAGAUUCCUGUACUACCGAUAAUCGUUUGAGAGAAGGGAUGACACAGUAGGAUAAGCUGAGCACACUGUUGGUUAAGUGUGUCUAAGCGUUGAGGCAGACUAGAUAGGCAAAUCCGUUUAGUUAAUGCUGGGGCGCGAUGGGGAGCGAAACUAAGUAGCGAAGCAGCUGAUUUCACACUGUCGAGAAAAGUCUCUAUCGAGAUUAAAGGUACCCGUACCGCAAACCGACACAGGUGGGUGAGGAGAGUAUCCUAAGGCCAGCGAGAGAACUGUUGUUAAGGAACUCGGCAAAAUGACCCCGUAACUUAGGGAUAAGGGGUGCCCCAGCAAUGGGGCCGCAGAGAAUUGGCCCAAGCGACUGUUUACCAAAAACAUAGGUUUCUGCUAAGUCGCAAGACGAUGUAUAGGAGCUGACGCCUGCCCGGUGCUGGAAGGUUAAGGGGAUCUGUAAGAGCAAUCGAAGCAGUGAUCUUAAGCCCCAGUAAACGGCGGCCGUAACUAUAACGGUCCUAAGGUAGCGAAAUUCCUUGUCGGGUAAGUUCCGACCCGCACGAAAGGCGUAACGAUUUGGGCACUGUCUCAACAACAGACUCGGUGAAAUUGUAAUCCCGGUGAAGAUGCCGGGUACCUGCGACAGGACGGAAAGACCCCAUGGAGCUUUACUGUAGCUUGACAUUGGGUUUCGAUACUACAUGUACAGGAUAGGUGGGAGACUAAGAAAUCAGGGCGUCAGUUUUGAUGGAGUCACCCUUGGGAUACCACCCUUGUAGUAUUGGGACUCUAACCAUAGGCCAUGAAUCUGGUCUUGGGACACUGUCUGGUGGGCAGUUUGACUGGGGCGGUCGCCUCCCAAAAGGUAACGGAGGCGCUCAAAGGUUCCCUCAGUACGGUCGGAAAUCGUACGAAGAGUGUAAAGGCAAAAGGGAGCUUGAUUGCAAGACAUACAGGUCGAGCAAGGUAGAAAUACGGACUUAGUGAUCCGGUGGUUCUGAGUGGAAGGGCCAUCGCUCAACGGAUAAAAGCUACCCUGGGGAUAACAGGCUUAUCUCCCCCAA